GUGCACGCUGGCGGUAGGCCUAACCCCUGCAAGUCGCACGGCAGCACAGUAAGAGCUUGCUCUUACGGGUGGCGAGUGGCGGACGGGUGAGGAAUACAUCGGAAUCUACUUUUUCGUGGGGGAUAACGUAGGGAAACUUACGCUAAUACCGCAUACGACCUACGGGUGAAAGCAGGGGAUCUUCGGACCUUGCGCGAUUGAAUGAGCCGAUGUCGGAUUAGUUAGUUGGCGGGGUAAAGGCCCACCAAGGCGACGAUCCGUAGCUGGUCUGAGAGGAUGAUCAGCCACACUGGAACUGAGACACGGUCCAGACUCCUACGGGAGGCAGCAGUGGGGAAUAUUGGACAAUGGGCGCAAGCCUGAUCCAGCCAUACCGCGUGGGUGAAGAAGGCCUUCGGGUUGUAAAGCCCUUUUGUUGGGAAAGAAAAGCAGCAGGUUAAUACCCCGCUGUUCUGACGGUACCCAAAGAAUAAGCACCGGCUAACUUCGUG
rnacentral:rRNA from 1 species